rnacentral:lncRNA from 10 species
AUGGAUAAAGUAUGGUGGAGCAAAGAACACUGGACCAGAAGUUGGGGAGGUCGCCUUAGCUCCACCACUGUGUCUCACCGUUAAAUUCAUCUACAGGGAUCCUGGAAUCUCGGGAGGUGACAGACCAGUGCACGUAUUGCAACCAAUUGAGGUGUAAGAGACAAUAUGAAAUUGCUAUGAGCAAGUUGAUUCAGUCACUCAACAAGUAUUCACAGGCACUGUGUGAACUCUAAAAGCAAAUUACUUCUCUCUGAGGCAGGCGAGGCAAGGUCACAGAAGCUUUAUGGAACUGAGCAUUUGGGCUGGUGUUUGAAGAAGAGGUUAAAAUUUGUCAGGCAGAGCAGAAGGGAGGCAGGUGUGACAAAGGUCAUGUGGGAGUCAAAGGCGUGGG